GGGAUAGCAGCGGCAUCCUUUUGAGAGUUUACGAACAAAAGAUAAAGCGCAUAGCCCGACCCCUG
rnacentral:sRNA from 2 species